CAGUCGCCGCGGUAAAACGGAGGGUGCAAGCGUUAAUCGGAAUUACUGGGCGUAAAGCGUGCGUAGGCGGUUCGUUAAGUCUGUUGUGAAAGCCCCGGGCUCAACCUGGGAAUGGCAAUGGAUACUGGCGAGCUAGAGUGUGUCAGAGGAUGGUGGAAUUCCCGGUGUAGCGGUGAAAUGCGUAGAGAUCGGGAGGAACAUCAGUGGCGAAGGCGGCCAUCUGGGACAACACUGACGCUGAGGCACGAAAGCGUGGGGAGCAAACAGGAUUAGAUACCCCCGUAGUCCCUGUCUCUUAUAC
rnacentral:rRNA from 1 species